AACAAUAUCUAGAAUAUUAAUUCGACGGGGCGGACGUUAACAUAGUAUAUUUAAAUAAAAAACCAAGCAAACUAUAGAAAAAGUAGUUCCAAGGGUAGUGGCGACCAAGGAGGAUCACAGCUUCAUAAGUGGAAACCUCUCCGGUUGGCACCUGUUAAGAAGUCAUAUAAGUUGUAAGCAGACAUGCAGGUGUUCCAGUUUCUUCUAAUUUUUGCAUUAAUUGCUAUGUCUUCAGCUACAAUUAUUGAAAGAAGACCAUGCCCACGUGAUUCUAUAAGAUUGGGACCAAACUGUUACAAGUUAGACAAAAACUAUAUUAAUGAUGAUUAUUAUGUUAAUGAUAAUUAUGAUUAUUAAAUGUAUUUUUAAGCUUGAAUUAUGACUGCAUGCACACGCGUAAAAUAAUAUGCCUGAAAAUUGGCAAAAUAUGUAAAUGAUAAGUUUUUAUAAAAUGAAAUAAACAAUACGCCAACUGGCGGAAUAAAUUCGCAGUUUGGAUUAUAAAUAAACCCAAAAAUUGGGUUAUUCCGUAUUCGACCCACGACAACUCAACCCACUCAUUAUUUUUUCCUUACUCAACCCAAUUUUGUUCCUUACUCUACCCACAACAAAUUUUUAAUUUUAUGUUCCUUAUUCACCCCAAAAACAUUCCUUUUUUUUUUUUUUUUCGGGGAAAAAAUGCAUUGAAUUGCAUACCUAUCCUGCGGGGACAGGGUAGGUUAUGUGGGGCUCACCAAGUCAGAAGGACAAAGGCAUACCCACUAAAAAGACCCCGGUGCUCCGUCAUUCGCCUUAAGGGGAUUCCGGACAAAGCCUUCACUACCACAGUCCCUCCCGGCGAUUGCCCGCCUACACGACGGGCCCUACAGGCCCCCCAGGACGGGGGGCGACGGGAGCAGCAUUUUAUGUUCCUUAUUCACCCCAAAAACAUUCCUAGCUCAACCCAUUUUAAAACCACUUCAAAAAUAUAAGAUUUUUAUGCACGGUCAGAAUAAAAAUAUAUUUUUUAGAAAUUGAAGCUCAGUUAACUUUUGUGUUAAGAUCGUUCUAUUAAAUAAAACUGCAGGAGUUCUGAUACAAUAAUAUUAUUAUAUUUGAAAAACGUUUUUCACAAAAGGACACAAAUCAAAUAAUGACUAAUUAAAAUCUACUAUAAAUCCACUAUAAAUCUACUAUAAAUCAAACGACUGUGAUUUUUUAUUAAAUCAGUAUAACCAAGCUAUGGCGUAUAAUUUUUUCCCCAGACACUUGUUCA